rnacentral:rRNA from 1 species
AGAGUUUGAUCAUGGCUCAGAACGAACGCUGGCGGCGUGCUUAACACAUGCAAGUCGAGUGCGCGGUUGUAGCAAUACAACUGGCGCACGGCGCACGGGUGCGUAACACGUGGGCAAUCUGCCCUCCGAUGGGGAAUAACCCCGCGAAAGCGGGGCUAAUUCCGCAUAACAUUCCCUGGACUCUGGUUCGGGGAUUCAAAGCAGCAAUGCGUCGGAGGAGGAGCCCGCGCCCGAUUAGCUAGUUGGUGAGGUAACGGCUCACCAAGGCAAUGAUCGGUAGCUGGUCUGAGAGGAUGGCCAGCCACACUGGAACUGAGACACGGUCCAGACUCCUACGGGAGGCAGCAGUGGGGAAUCUUGCGCAAUGGGCGAAAGCCUGACGCAGCGACGCCGCGUGGGGGAUGAAGCUUCUCGGAGUGUAAACCCCUUUCGACCGGGACGAAUGCCCGCAAGGGAGUGACGGUACCGGUAGAAGAAGCCCCGGCUAAUUACGUGCCAGCAGCCGCGGUAAGACGUAGGGGGCCAGCGUUGUUCGGAAUUACUGGGUGUAAAGGGUUCGUAGGCGGUGUGGCAAGUCGGGAGUGAAAUUUCUGGGCUUAACCCAGAGGCUGCUUCCGAAACUGCUGUGCUCGAGUGUGGGAGAGGCGCGUGGAAUUGCAGGUGUAGCGGUGAAAUGCGUAGAUAUCUGCAGGAACACCCGUGGCGAAAGCGGCGCGCUGGACCACUACUGACGCUGAGGAACGAAAGCUAGGGGAGCAAACAGGAUUAGAUACCCUGGUAGUCCUAGCCCUAAACGAUCAGGACUUGGGGUGCCACCCGUUCGGGUGUCGUCCCGGAGCUAACGCGUUAAGUCCUGCACCUGGGGAGUACGGUCGCAGACUGAACUCAAGGAUGACGGGGCCCGCACAGCGUGGACAUGUGGUCAUUCGACGCUACGCGAGGACCUUACCUGGGCUCGAAUGCUUCUGACCAGCUGU